CCCUCCCUCCCAGACCCUCCCACCUCCUGGACAGCAUCCACUUUGAAGCUGCAUUUUUAGUGAGCUGUCCAGGAGGUGGGAGGGUCUGGGAGGGAGGG
rnacentral:miRNA from 1 species